UCCGGUCUUUUGAGCGAUAUGGAACCACUCCUUCCCAUUCCGAACAGGUUAGUGAAACAUAUCAGCGCCGACGAUAGUUGUGGGGCAACCUACCGCGAAAAUAGGUCAAGGCCGGGA
rnacentral:rRNA from 1 species